rnacentral:rRNA from 1 species
CGUAAAGAACCUACCUUAUAGACAGGGACAACUAUUGGAAACGAUAGCUAAUACCUGAUAAGAAAGAAACUCGCAUGAGAGAAGUUCGAAAGUCGGAGCAAUCUGACACUAUAAGAUGGCUUUGCGGUGCAUUAGCUAGUUGGUAGAGUAAAAGCCUACCAAGGCGACGAUGCAUAGCCGACCUGAGAGGGUGAUCGGCCACAUUGGGACUGAGACACGGCCCAGACUCCUACGGGAGGCAGCAGUG